GUACCACUGAAGAGUCCCAAACUAGGAUGAAACAGCUGUCCAGUAC
rfam:Trichobilharzia regenti genome assembly, scaffold: TRE_scaffold0024205